CCCGGCACAAGCGGUGGAGCAUGUGGUUAAUUCGAUGAUACGCGAGGAACCUUACCUGGGCUCAAAUGUAUGUUGACGUAUUCUGAAAGGGAUACUUCUUCGGACAAUAUACAAGGUGCUGCAUGGUUGUCGUCAGCUCGUGCCGUGAGGUGUCGGGUUAAGUCCCAUAACGAGCGCAACCCCUAUCAUUAGUUGCCAUCAGGUCAAGCUGGGGACUCUAAUGAAACUGCCUACGCAAGUAGUGAGGAAGGUGGGGAUGACGUCAAGUCAUCAUGGCCCUUACGGCCUGGGCUACACACGUGCUACAAUGGUCGGUACAAAGGGUUGCCAAGCCGCGAGGUGGAGCUAAUCCCAUAAAACCGAUCGUAGUCCGGAUCGCAGUCUGCAACUCGACUGCGUGAAGUCGGAAUCGCUAGUAAUCGUGAAUCAGAAUGUCACGGUGAAUACGUUCCCGGGCCUU
rnacentral:rRNA from 1 species